CCUACGGGAGGCAGCAGUAGGGAAUAUUGGGCAAUGGAGGCAACUCUGACCCAGCCAUGCCGCGUGAACGAAGAAGGCGCUAUGCGUCGUAAAGUUCUUUUAGAGGGGGCGAAAACACUUGAUUCAUCAAGUACUGACGGUACCUUCGGAAUAAGCACCGGCUAACUCUGUGCCAGCAGCCGCGGUAAUACAGAGGGUGCAAGCGUUAUCCGGAAUCACUGGGUUUAAAGGGUGCGUAGGCGGGAUUAUAAGUCAGAGGUGAAAUCUCGUCGCUUAACGACGGAAUUGCCUUUGAUACUGUUUUUCUUGAAAUUUGUUGAGGUUGGCGGAAUGAGACAUGUAGCGGUGAAAUGCUUAGAUAUGUCUUAGAACACCGAUUGCGAAGGCAGCUGACUGGACAAUAUUUGACGCUGAGGCACGAAAGCGUGGGGAUCAAACAGGAUUAGAUACCCUGGUAGUCCACGCCCUAAACGAUGUUUACUUGCUGUUUGUCUUUCGGGAUGAGUGGCGAAGCGAAAGCGAUAAGUAAACCACCUGGGGAGUACGCCCGCAAGGGUGAAACUCAAAGGAAUUGACGGCNGAGAGNGCGAGACGACGACGAGGGAGGAGG
rnacentral:rRNA from 1 species